CUGAGCUGGAACCUGCUGCAAGCGUUUGACGAUUUAUCUAUUUAUUUGAGAGAGAGAAAGAGAAAAAGAGCAGGUGGGGAGCAACAUAGGGAGACGGAGAGAGAAACUCAAGCUCACUCAAGCUGACUGCAGAGCCUGACCUCAUGACUCUGAGAUCAUUUGAGCGGAAACCAAGAGUAGGAUGCUUCAAGAGGGCACCACCCAGACGUCCCCUAACAUGUUUACAUCUUGAAAGAACUAAUCUGAAGAUUGAGAAAAGUGGACUACCCUAAUUCAUAUCAAAACAGAGUGAGUGAGCAAGUUGGGAAAUGGAUGGGCAAAAGGAGAAGAGAAAGAAUCUUAAUAAUCUUAAGAAGAACCUUAAUCUCCAUGACCAGCUCAGAGGCCAACGGAGGGCUCCAUCUUAUAACCCUGACAUUAUCACCUGAGCAGAAAUUAGGAGCUGGACACUUAACUGACUGAGCCACCCAGGUGCCCCGGUACAAGAUUUUAGAAGUGUUUCUUAUUAAGAAUAAUUUUUCUAUUUCAGGAACUUCAGAUUUGACUAUAGUGAUAUUUUCAUUUUAAGGGCAUAUGUUUACUACAAAUGUCCACAAUUAUUGUGUUCUUAGCAUCACAGAUUUUGUCAAUUACAUAAUAUGCAAAACAAUAUAAACUAUGUGCCAAAAUAGCAAAUUACACUUUUAAUGCAAAUGUCAAUACUGAGAAGAAAUUGUUAACUGAAAUAAAAUGAGAACCAUUUUUUACAAUUAUGAACACAAGUACUACUAGUUCGUCUGAGACAUAAUGUACAUAUAAAGCAUAUGUAUUCUAUUACCAUGUUUAGUGCAAAUGAAAACCAUUAAGUUAAUUAUAAUAAUUUGAUUCUAUAGUAAAAAACUCAGGUUAAAAAAUGACAACACUGGGGGUGCCUGGGUGGUGCAGUGGGUUAAGCCUCUGCCUUCGGCUCAGGUCAUGAUCCCAGGGUCCUG